GUCCUUCGGGACUUUGAGAGCGGCGUACGGGUGCGUAACACGUGUGCAACCUACCUUUAUCAGGGGAAUAGCCUUUCGAAAGGAAGAUUAAUACCCCAUAAUAUAUUGAAUGGCAUCAUUUGAUAUUGAAAACUCCGGUGGAUAGAGAUGGGCACGCGCAAGAUUAGAUAGUUGGUGAGGUAACGGCUCACCAAGUCAAUGAUCUUUAGGGGUCCUGAGAGGGAGAUCCCCCACACUGGUACUGAGACACGGACCAGACUCCUACGGGAGGCAGCAGUGAGGAAUAUUGGACAAUGGGUGAGAGCCUGAUCCAGCCAUCCCGCGUGAAGGAUGACGGUCCUAUGGAUUGUAAACUUCUUUUGUAUAGGAAUAAACCUACUCUCGUGAGAGUAGCUGAAGGUACUAUACGAAUAAGCACCGGCUAACUCCGUGCCAGCAGCCGCGGUAAUACGGAGGGUGCAAGCGUUAUCC
rnacentral:rRNA from 1 species